AUUGAACGCUGGCGGCAGGCCUAACACAUGCAAGUCGAGCGAGCGGCGGACGGGUGAGUAAUGCCUGGGAAUUGCCCAGUCGAGGGGGAUAACAGUUGGAAACGACUGGUAAUACCGCAUACGAUUGGAUUUCCCAGGUGGGAUUAGCUAGUUGGUGAGGUAAUGGCUCACCAAGGCGACGAUCCCUAGCUGGUCGGAUAGGAUGAGCAUCCAAACUGGAACGGAGAAACGGUCCAGACUCCUACGGGAGGCAGCAGUGGGGAAUAAUGCACAAUGGGGGAAACCCUGAUGCAGCCAUGCCGCUUGUGUGAAGAAGGCCUUCGGGUUGUAAAGCACUUUCAGCGGGGAGGCGUUACUCGCAGAAGAAGCACCGGCUAACUCCGUGCCAGCAGCCGCGGUAAUAC
rnacentral:rRNA from 1 species